GGCCGCUGACGGCUGUCACUCCUGGAGACGUCAACCAGCCCGAUCAACAUGGGAAGUGCAGGAUUCCAAAGAUUUGAGGAAGCUGCCAGGUCCAGGACUCAAACCGUGCUCGGUCAUGUGGGAAUCCAGCGCCCUUAACCACCACACCACCUGCUGGCCCCCUAUGCAACAUAAUUAUUGAGCAACUAAGUAUGUAAGAUCUUGACUAAGAUCUAGGCAAAUGCAAAUUAAAACCAAGAACAUGCCAUUUCACACUUGACAGACUAGUCAAACUUCAAAGUCUGUCAAGGCCAAAAUUGAUGAUGCUGUGGAUUUGUGAGCAGAGCACUGCAGAUGGGAAUAUAAAUCGAUCUCAUACUUUCAGCAGUCUUUUGGCAAUUUCUAGUAGGUGAAGAUACCCUGCAACCCAGCAGCACCACUCUUGGUAUUUACCCUGCAGCAACUGACCUAUGUGCAAAAACAACACUGUUCACCCCCACAUUUGCUCCGAGUGAUGGUGGGGGCUGCGGAGUAAGGGAGAGAAGCAGUCAAAUGUCAUCUGCUGUAGACUUGAUAAAUUACACAGUUACUGCAUAGCACACUGUGUGACAGUAAAAAUGAGUCCGCCGUUUCACAAUGUUGGGUAUGAAUGCAC